UACGGGGGGAGCAAGCGUUGUUCGGAUUUACUGGGCGUAAAGGGCGCGUAGGCGGUCAGCACAAGUCAGUUGUGAAAUCUCCGGGCUUAACUCGGAAAGGUCAACUGAUACUGUGCGACUAGAGUGCGGAAGGGGCAACUGGAAUUCUUGGUGUAGCGGUGAAAUGCGUAGAUAUCUGGAGGAACACCGGUGGCGAAGGCGGCAUCCUGGACCAGUACUGACACUCAAGUGCGAAAGCGUGGGGAGCAAACAGG
rnacentral:rRNA from 1 species